rnacentral:lncRNA from 1 species
CCUAUAAAAGUUCCCCCGAUGAAUCUCACAAGACAGCUCAGCCACACCCUGCAGUGUUCAUCUAAUUAAAGGCAUAGUUUCACCAUAAGUUCGAUUACAUAUUUCCUUCUUGGAGGCAUCACUUCGGAGCAGGCAGCUUAGAAAUGCAUGAGGUGUGCGUCUGAUAUCCUAAAAUACCACAUACAUGUAGCACUAGUGGGCCGACGGGACAGCGCUAAACAAGCCGAAAUGCAUCCAUUUCAACCAUAACUCCUUGUUUUGUCGCUAGCCUAUACUGAUGUUGGCCCAUUAAGGAACCAGACGUUACAUGUCCCCGUCUGUUUUGAAAAGUCCCCCAGCAGGCAGCAGGAAACAAAGGAGGUCAAAAUCUGUUGACGGCGGCCACAGAUAUUGUACACCAACAGAGCAGAGACAACACAAACCAUUUUAUUUUCUCAGGUGCACAAGCUGGAUGGGAUGACGACCUCGAACUGCAUCACACCCGCUGCAAUCAACAUGCUAAACUAUACUAACAUAAGCCCAGCAAAAACUGGUUACUUCCUAGUGGUCACUGAUCACUCAGAUGCCAGACCUGUAACUACAAUCUUCUCUAGUUAUGACACGCAAGACCAAAAAAAAAUCUUCUCUGGCAAUGAACUCAAGAUUACAUUUGCGAUUGCACAUGACAAACUGCUGAGCAACGAGGAGGAUGACAUGAGUGGGCCAGCAAAACAAACCACAUAAUUGUGUGACCGUGCGGAAUUUAACGAGAUACGGUUUGCUCAAAGUUUUUGACCACAAAAUUAUCAUCCGAGCAUGUCAGAACAGCAACCCAUCCAACUGCUCAGCCUGGUUAUCACACGCCAUGCUCCGCUGCGAUAGGCCAGCCACUUGCAAGGAACCGGUUGCAAGUACCCCGAAAAUAAAAUGGUUCGUUCAGAUUUGUUUCAUACUUAGCUCACAUGCGCCUUGCUAUAGUCAUCAGCAGCUGCCGAUAGCGACGGUAUAGUAACAGGAAAUCCAGGUCCCAUCUGCAAGAAAGUUCCUCCGGUAAGAGACAUAAAAGAUAAGAGCAAUCCGAGGAGAUGCUGUCCGCCGUCAAAUCCCAGGGCUCAACCCUGGACAGGCAGUGGAAACUACCAAGCUGGAGUACGGUAUGUGAAAAUGAAAGAUGGAAGAAGUUGGGACAAUGCUCGUAAGGGUUACACUUGAACAUGCUUAGGUGCUAUAUCACAAGCAGCCUUACUUUCAGUUUACCCCGCUAACAAUGACAGAGCCACUAGCAAUCAUUGCAACUCUUGGUAAUACCAACAUACUGAUCAAGCUGUACAGACACAGUAUAGGUUUAACUGUAGCAUUUCACAAGACCUCUCAUGGGACGAUACAGAUCACUAAAGCCAGAAUCAUGUCACACAACUAAAAUACCAUCAGGGUCAACUUGAUGCAAACCAUUAGCAAAGUUAUGAAGUACCUAGCAGUAAUUCACCUUUCUCCGAGAGAGAGGAAGGAUCCACGCUCUGAAGGUAAUAGUGCAUUAGCUAGGGCUGCGAGUCCAGUACAAGCCUAAUGUUUCUAGCACAUUGCUCCAUAACUUUCACAAAAAUACUCCCUCUGAUCCAUAUUAAUUGUCGUUCAUUUAGUAUAAAGUUGUACUAAAUUAGCGAAAAUUAAUAUGGAUCGGAGGGAGUAGCAUAAUGGACAAAUACGCUCUACUAAUACUACCUACUUUCAAGAGAACAGAAAGAGUUUUGCGGAAUAAAGCAUGCAUAAUCUCAAAAUUGUUUGGCACAUGCACAAAUUAGUGAUAAUGCCUGUGGUACAACUAGUACCAAAAUGUCUGGCACUCAAUUUUUUCCUUUAUUUUCUUCAGUUUUGUUGGUCUUUCAGAUUAUGAAGCCAUGUGCCCUUUUUCAGUCUUCUGUAGCAUUUCAUAUCUUAUGUUGUAGAGUAUUUAUUAUUGUCACUCAAAUGUAAAUUCAGUAGAGCCCUCCCAUAAUGUUGUCAUAAAAAGGAAUAUAACAUAUAAGGUCGUAAGAAGAUGAAAACCAAAAAGGUCUUUAACAUGUUAUUAAUUUUGGUUGAAAUAUUAUGUGACACCCUAGAAAGUGAAACCAACGAUACAUCAGAUAGAAGUGGGAGAGAAAAGAGCUUACUGUGCUACUCAGCGUGAACUUCUUCACGUAUCCAACAUAUUUCGAAGCUGAAAGAAAGUGAGUGUUAACAGCUUGGAUUUAAUACCAUCAUCACAAUUAUCAGAGAAACAACAUGUAAAUAUCAAAACGUGCAUGGAGAGAAAUAUUAAUAUCUAAGAAUGAGCUAUUGGCUAAUUCACCAUCUGAAUUAAGUACUCAAAUUGAUUUCUUAAACAGGGCACUGGCGUUUCAUGUCAAGUGUCCAAAGUAUUGAAACUGACAGAGAAGGGUCAAACAAAAUCAGUCAGACUCAGAGUUCAUGCACAGACACGAAUUUUGGAACAUGGUUCCCGCUAUGAACAGUAAAAUCAGAAAAAUACUAGAAAAAAAAAUCUGAAUAUUUUUUGCAUCAUACAUGGCAGUGUUCUACUCGUGUAUGAAGUUUCACAAAAAAAAUGAAAUCCGUGGUAUUCUAGGCAAAAAAGACAUAAAUCGGUGCUAUAAAAAAGACACUGUUUGAAGUAAUUUGGAGAUCCGAAUUUCUUUUCUUUGCGAAGAGUGCCAUGGGUGUCAUUUCUGAGCGCAUGUGAGUAGACCAGUCGACCAAGUAUGAUACCCCAAAAUUUUAGAAUUAUUUGAUUUUUUUGGCUUUCUAUAUUCUUUUUCGUAAUGGGUGCGCGUGCAUCCAUGUUCACCCUUGUAUUUUCAUAAUAUAUACCACAAUAUAAAAUAGUUUGAAGUUCAUAAAUUUGUAGUUGAGUAAUAUUCACUAAUAAGGUACAAUGUUGAUACAAAAUAUUGGUAUAAGCAUGUUAGCAGCACCAGCCGCUCACUUACUUUUCUUUAGGCCCACCGGCUUAGCAAGUAAAAGUGCAUUUACGAAAGCACCAAUAUUUUCACGUAAACUCUCCUCAGAAAAAUUGAUCUGCAAAAAACAACACAAACUAUAAUGAGGAACGACACAGAAUUGCAAAGGAGUUGCUUGACUAUGUACAUAAUUAUAUUGAUAAAUUCACUAGGCAUAUGAGUAUUAAUAUUGAUGGCCAUGUCCCAUACCUUUCCAAGGCCAACAUGCACUAUAGCAGUUUUAUCUAUCUUAAAAUCAACACGACCUGAUUUUGCCGCUUUGACAGCACCAGAAACAUCAUUUGUCACAGACCCUAACUAUAAGAUUUAAAGUGUCAAGAAAGGCAGAAAACUUCAGUGUGGUUCCAAAAGAAAAUGAAAAGGGAAGAUGCCUACCUUAGGAUUUGGCAUCAAACCACGCGGACCCAAUAUUCUAGCGACCUGGAGAAUCAGUCAGGUUGUUAAUAAUAUGUCAAACAAGAAAUAACAUAAGUGUCCAAAAGCCCACACUGAUACCUUUGAAAGCCGAGGCAUGAACAUUGGGGUUGCUAUGCACUUGUCGAAACUUAGUUUGCCUCCUCCUAAUAUGUAUAAUCGUAGGUGGAAAAAAGGAAUUCCAAUCAACAAGAAUGUCAAAAUCGUAGAUGAAACUAAGGAAAACAUAGGAUGGGGUACUAGGGAGUGAGAGCAGCAAUUGGUGGUAUUCCAAGGAAAAUAAGUUUCAAAAACCAUAACAUACUAAAGGAAAUAAAGUACCUUUGCGAAUCUCCUCGAUCAGCUCGUCGCCACCAACAACAUCUGCUCCAGCUGCUCUAGCUUCCUCUGCUGAAGGCCCUUCCGCAAAUACUGCUACCCUAACAGUCUUAUAAAGAGAAGGACCUCAGUAUGAAGUACUCGCAGAAAACAAAAGCACCAUUUGGGAUGCAAGAACUCUUUUUAUUGUUCCUUACGAAACAGAGAUGAUAUAUACCCAAUGCCUGUAAAAUAGGCUGUGAACGAUAUUUAGAAAGGUACCUUGCCAGUGCCAUGCGGCAAAGUUAUGGCGCCACGGACCAUCUGUAUGCCAGGAAAAUUUUUGGUCAGUGUCAGAAGAUAAUUUUCUAUUAAUCUAACGUUCACAAGCAGAUUGAAAAAGAAAACAUGAGGCAACUUGGCUAUUCAACUGGAGAAGCAUUAGUUAAUCAUCAUUUCUUAGCAUGCACAAAAACUCUGGACAACAUUUCUUCUGUAUUUGAAUGUGUUAGAUAGGCCUCAACAGGUAUAGAAACAAGACUUCAGCAGCAUCCCUGUUAAAUCACAUAGCUUCUACACUGGUUUCAACACAUUGGGGAACUUUGGCUUCAUGGCAAAUACAAUGUCAUACACUAAUAUCAGCCGGGUUUUUUUUACAAGAAUCGACAAAUUAUCCCAAUCAGUUAGCUUCUUACAUCUGUGUUUUUGUUGUCAUAACUGGUUGAUCCAGUCAUGAAACCCUAGAUCAUGCCUCGUACAGGGAGGUGCUAGCCACAUGAAGGAGAAAGGGAGCACAAGUGCUGGAACAUUGUGCAUGCUGAAUCACGCAGCACGCAGGCUGUGCUGUUUGUGCGUGGAACCAGAAGAUGAGAAUAUAUGAUUGCAUGUGCUUCAAACCUUCAACUGAACCAUGCGCCCGUGUGUAUAAAAUUGCAUAAGUGUGUCAAUUAGGUUUAUCCGGUAAUUGCAAGAAAGUGGCGUACUACGGCACUGGAAUUGCUAGCCUUGCCAAAUGACUUGGCUCAGUAACAUGACACCUAGGUGACCGUUUUUAAAGGCACUAAGUUGACAGUCAAAUCGAACUUCAACAAUUAAGCAAGUAAUAAAAGAUCAACAAAACAAAUGCUCUGUGGGGUUGAUACAGAAAUCAAAUAACUGAUGCUUAUGCCACGAGAACCACAGCUUCAGCCAUUACCAGUGGCUUGACCAAAUGAACUACUGUGAAAGACCAGGAAAGAUCACAUACACUCAAGUGAAACCAGAGUAAACAGGUCUUCGCAGUGCAGCAGCAAAUGCAGCUGGCAAUAAGUGAUUCAGUAACAUGGCAGGUUAAAUUUCCAUAGAGUAGCAAUAGUGAGAAAAUAUGACAGGAUAAAAGGUGUGCUUCAAGGUACUUUUUAAAGAAGCAAAGCAGACCUGGUCACCACGACGUGGAUCAACACCUAACAUCACAUGAGCUUCCACUGUUUCAGUAAAAUUCCGCUUCUUCUCAUUUGCACUGGUCUGGAAGGAAACAGCAGAACAAAGUAAGACCAUUUGAUUAUUAUUUUCUUGACUAAACAAUUAGAUUAUCAAGUUAUGUGGAACAUAAAGUGUGUGAAACAUAAAGCAUUGCUAAAUUUUCCCACACUUGACAGCUUACAGGUCAUCUUAUAUGUCCCAUGAGAAUUGAACAUUGAACAAAGGUCUUGUAUGUAUAGAUAGAGAGCUAAUGUAGGGCCAUAACACCAUUCAACGGCUACUUUUUUUUCUCCCAUCCAGCAUCACAGUGAGGUUUAUGUUUUAUAAACCUACAAAACUUAAGUUAAAACCCAAUAGCAUUCAGAGCUAGGAAAAACACACAUUUAGUACGAUCAAGAUUUUCAUAAUUCGCGGCUGUUCAUUUUGCUUUUCCUCUUUUUUAUACCUCCUAAAAUGCGACAGGGUUUGAUUUUCAAGUUAUACAUGUUAAUAGAACAUCACCUCCCCCACAUAUUCUAUUUUUCAUAGAAUUAUUUGAUACCUCUUACACAUGGUUUCCAGAGGGUUAUUGCCAGGAGGGUAGUUUCCCACUGGACAUUUUCCCAAACAUCCUCCACAAAAUAAUCUCAGAAGUAACCACAGUGUUAGUACUCAUACAAUUAACAAGCAUACUCUUCUGAAAAUUACACUAUCCUCUCUUCAAGUAUAUUUUUUAUAGCUACUACAUGUAUACUACAGAAUUCUGUCACCAAUCACUGGCAGACAAAAUAAGCUUUCUUAGUAAUGUUGGAGAUCUUGCUUCAUAGGGGUGUUGCAAGACACCUAAACUGACAACUAAUUGCAACUUAUCAUGUUAGAAUUAAUAAUCUAUUACUCCCUCCGUUCGGAAUUACUUGUCGUAGAAAUGGAUGUAUCUAGACAUUUUUUAGUUCUAGAUACAUCCAUUUCUGUGACAAGUAAUUCGGAACGGAGGGAGUACCUAGCUGCUUGAGCAAGGACACGUUGAGGCUUUUCCUCACAGAAAUGAUUCAUCAUGAAUAGUUUGAUGUAUCAAAAAGUAUUGUCGAACGCAUGAAGGAACUUGGCUCGUUAACAGUUUUAGCUCAAAAAAUCCUACAAGACUGAAAAUGCUCCAAAGAUCCUGUAUUCAGAAUGCCCCUGGUCGUUUGUUGUAGUUUAUCAGAGAGGGGACACUUGGCCAGCAAGCAGAAAAGAAAAUGGAGCCAGCAAUGGCGCUGGAUCAGGACUAGGAAGAGCAGAUAGUAAGACUCAGAGAUCAGGUCCUGCCGGUCUCUGCCGCAGCUGAAGUAGUGCAAAGAGAAAGAUAACAAGGCAAGGGAGGCUUGGUCACCAUUUAGUGGUUAACUAAGGGUUCAGUAAGAUGGUACAAUACUAGUCUAGAUCAGUCAGUUCCAGGUCUUCUGCUAGGGUAUAAGUAGGCAUCAUUUUGCUUCAAUCAACAAGAAAAUCUCUCUUCCGGUAUGUUAUAGUUAACCUAAUCUAGCGCUCUGUUUUUUCCUACUGGUGCCAUUAACAUCUUGCGCCCAUCACGACGCCUAUGAACUUUCCCUACAACCUAAGGGCAAAAACAAGAAUGCAAUGAAUGUUUAUAUCAUCUACAUGCAAAGAUCAUAUGCCAGUUUGAGAAUGCUCAACUUAUUUUAAAGCUGUUGUGGAGAAACUAGAGUCUUGUUUGCAUACAGGGUGUUGAUGUUAACUGAUAUGGCAAAAUGAAACACAGUUCGGAAUUUCUUCUUUCUUCUGUUAGCAGAACAAGAUUUUAAACUACGUUUCUGUUGAUUAUAGCAACAUCAGUAAUCAGUUAGCCAAACAGGGUAAUAAGUCAAAUCAACUAAGGUAAAACAGAAUUGUUAUAACCAACCACAAUGCCAAAGGCAGCAUAAACAAAAUGGAUUUGCUAAUUCUCAUCUAGAUGAGAAUUAGCAAAGUCUCAUCUAACUCCUACACUAUUUGAUUAUCCAACCACUAGGAGUUACAUGAGACAUGGUUAUGUCCCAUCUACUCCCUCCGUUCGGAAUUACUCGUCCAAGAAAUGAAUGUAUCUAGAUGUAUUUUAGUUGUAGAUACAUCCAGUUUUGUGACAAGUAAUUCCGAACGGAGGGAGUAGAUGAGAGCUAGACACACUCUAAACAAAAAAGGAGCAUUCUUCCUGGUAUGAUAGAAUCCACUGUCAUAGCAACAACAACAAAAAACAUGCAUCAAAUUAGGCUUAAUUCCAUCCUAAAAUUUGUAGUCGCAUUCCAGUUAAACUAUGGCUAUUUCACCAACACUCCUUCCCAUUGACUAAACAAACAAAAUCAUGCUACUUCAACUGAGGUACUCUUCUCGAUGUGAAAACCUUACUGCUAUGAAACCAUGUCCAAAUUAUACAAAGCUAUGAUCCCCAAUUGCAACAUAACGAGAUUGUUUAUUUGCGAGUUUGAACCUCGAUGAACCGAAUCACUUUCAAGUGCAGACCUUGAUUUCGCGGAGUGCAUCGACGAGAUCAAUGGCGACCUUCUGCGGCCGCUUCGCAGCGGGUAUCAGCGAUGGGUACGGCACCGUCUCCUCCUCCACCGGCACGCCGAAGAUGGACCUCCUCGCCCGCUCAGCAUUCAUCUCAAUCCGCUCCGCCUCGCCGCGCAGAUCCUGCUCAUUCACCCCUUCCCCAGCCCCAUCUUCCGCUGGACGGUCUUCCGGGAGCGGCGCAACCCUGCUCGGGUACGACACCGGCGCGAUCGCGGGCCCCGCGUCCUUGACGAACCGCACCUCUUGCCGCGUAAACUGCCGCGGCGGAUUCGGCGGCUGCUGCUCAAAUCUCCUGGGAGGCGAAUCCUGCCACCCGGGGCUAGCGCUCCGGGCAUCCGGCGAGGAGGCCUCCUCGGGUGGGGCCUGCGGCUUCGGGGCGUAGGAGACGGGCUUGAUGGUCGGCGGUGGGGGGUCGCCGGAGUUGGAGGUGGAGAAGCGGAAGAGCGGGAGGAGGCGAUGGGGCUGCGGGUGGCAGCGGGAGUGGGAAAGGAGGAGGCGGAGGUGAGCCAUGCUGAGGGCGUGGCGGCGGCCGGCGGCGGGGGGUUUAAGUGAGGAAGCGAUGGGGGAUGGACUGAAAUGGGAGGGUUUGCACUGGACUGGGCUCGAUCUGGCGCACACUGCUAUAGCACGAGUCGGCCUACUAGGACGUUUUGGUUUAGGCCCAACUAGCACUGCCAUAGCACCAUCCAGUUCGGCACGAAAUUCUAAAAAAAAAAAAACAGUUCGGCACGUUCCCUUCUACUCCCUCGUUCCUAAAUAUUUUUCUUUUUAGAGAUUUCAAAUGAAUUACCACAUACGAAUGUAUAUAGAAAUAUUUUAUAGCGUAGAUUCACUCAUUUUGCUCUGUAUGUAGUCACUUGUUGAAAUAUCUAGAACGACAAAUAUUUAUAAACAAAGGGAGUAGUUAGGUUUUUUUCUUCCUCUCGGCGGCGCCACUGCCGCCGUUGAGACUCACCUUCUCUACCCUGUUUUCCUUGGAAGAAAAGGAUUAAGGCUGAACUAGGGCGAUCUAGAUCGCUACCUGGCCUUGGUCUCGUUCAUAUUGGGGAGCGGGAUGUCUAGGGUUCUUCCGCCCGGCAAUGUUGUUUUCUUGGGGCUAGAGAUCUCAAUGGAUACUGGCGCCUCUGGAUCGACACUCUAUACGGGAGAAGUGGAAGUGAUGCUUAGGGAUCUAGGCAUACAGGAGGAGGAACUCGACGAUGUCAUGGUGGAGGAUGAAUAUGCGAUCCCCGCUAAAGCAACUAGACGAAUGGUAUUGGUGCAAUAAUUUGCCUCCUUAUUUUUUUUGGAGAUUUUUGUCAUAAACGGUGUGGAGACUAAUAUGUUUGCUAGUGCACAUAGAGUGACAAGUCCCUGAAGUCAUGAGGAGUUUGAUACAAACUCUGAAGAUAAUUUCUUGCGUGGCAGCGAAGAUUAAAGUGACCCCCCAAAAAUUGUUGACAUGAAGCAAUUGAUUCGGUGCUUGUCCGAAGAAAUUGACUGCAGCCGAGAAGUUUAAAGGCGAAGCGAAGACGUAGUGUUUGUUUCGUAGUUCAUUUUUCUCUUUCUUGGGUAAUAGGUGUUGGGAAACGUAGCAUGCAAUUUCAAAAAAAAUCCUACGCUCGCGCAAGAUCUAUCUAGGAGAUGCAUAGCAACGAGAGGGGGAGAGCAUCUUCAUACCCUUGAAGAUCGCAAAGCGGAAGCGUUUAUCAACGCGGUUGAUGUAGUCAUACACCUUCACGAUCCGUGCCGAUUAAGUACCGAACGUACGGCACCUCCGUGUUCAGCACACGUUCAGCUCGAUGACGUCCUCGCUUUCUUGAUCCAGCAAGACGGGCGAAGUAGUAGAUGAGUUCCGGUAGCACGACGGCGUGGUGACGGUGUUGGUGAAGAACAAUCUCCACAGGGCUUCGCCAAGCACAACGAAAACUAUGACGGAGGAUAAACUAGAGGGGACGGGGUUGCCGGCACACGGCUUGGUGAUUCUUGAUGUGUCUUUGGUGCUAGCCAUGCCCCUCUAUUUAUAUGUUGAGCCUUGCGGUCGAAACUAGGAGUAAAAGCCUCAACAAAGUCAGUUUCACCCGAAAGGGUGAGUCCUUCUCGGACUUCCAGGACCAGACGCCACGGUCCUUGGCGUCUGGCCCGGACGCCAUGGGCCUCGGCGUCUGGCCCAGGGCCAAACGCUAGGGUCUCCAGCGUUUGGCCCCUGGCCUCCGCAAAACUCCUUUUGCACCGACCUAAAGCCUCGUCGGCUUCACCCCUUGGCCGAACCAUAUCAUCCUAUAUAUCAAUCUUUACCUCCAGACCAUUCCAGAGCUCCUCGUCAUGUCCGUGAUCUCAUCCGGGACUCCGAACAACAUUCGGUCACCAACAUACAUAACUCAUAUAGUACUAUAUCGUCAACGAACGUUUAAGCGUGCGGACCCUACGGGUUCGAGAACUAUGUAGACAUGGCCGAGACACUUCUCCGGUUAAUAACCAAUAGCGGAAUCUGGAUGCCCAUAUUGGUUCCUACAUAUUCUACGAAGAUCUUUAUCGGUCAAACCUUAUGACAACAUACGUAAUUCCCUUUGUCAUCGGUAUGUUACUUGCCCGAGAUUCGAUCGUCGGUAUCAUCAUACCUAGUUCAAUCUCGUUACCGGCAAGUCUCUUUACUCGUUCCGUAGUGCAUCAUCCCGUAACUAACUCAUUAGUCACAUUGCUUGCAAGGCUUAUAGUGAUGUGCACUACAGAGAGGGCCCAGAGAUACCUCUCCGAUACUCGGAGUGACAAAUCCUAAUCUCGAUCUAUGCCAACACAACAAACACCUUCGGAGAUACCUGUAGAGCAUCUUUAUAAUCACCCAGUUACGUUGUGACGUUUGAUAGCACACAAGGUAUUCCUCUGGUAUCCGGGAGUUGCGUAAUCUCAUAAUCAAAGGAAUAUGUAUAUGCCAUGAAGAAAGCAAUAACAAUAAAACUUAACGAUCAUUAUGCUAAGCUAACGGAUGGGUCUUGUCCAUCACAUCAUUCUCCUAAUGAUGAGAUCCCAUUAAUCAAAUGACAACACAUGUCUAUGGUUAGGAAACUUAACCAUCUUUGAUCAACGAGCUAGUCUAGUAGAGGCUUACUAGGGACACGGUGUUUUGUCUACGUAUCCACACAUGUAUCAAGUUUCCGGUUGAUACAUUUCUAGCAUGGAUAAUAAACAUUUAUCAUGAUAUAAGGAAAUAUAAAAUAACAACUUUAUUAUUGCCUCUAGGGCAUAUUUCCUUCAAUAGGACCACCAUACUAUUAAGAGGGGUAUAGUGUUAAGCUUACGAUUAUCUGAUGCUAAACCUGAAUCCUCUGUGAGACGAGGGAAAUCUCUUUGUGUUCCGAAUAAGUCCUUGUCGGCAAGAGACGAAGUUCUUCUUCGUUGCGAGAGAUUUUAUUCAGACCGAGGAGUUAGCAUUUCUCGCUCCGCAAGUAAUGUUACCGUUGUGCUAAAAAAUCCGACCAUUAGAAGGUUCAUAAGGGAGAGCUCUAUAAGUUAAGCAUUACGGGCGUCCUCCAACGAUGUAUACCCGAAGACGAAGGAAGACUAUUACUUCAGGAAAUACACUCUGGCAUGAGCGGACAUCAAGUCGUUGCUCGAACCUUGGUCAGCAAGGCUUCCCUAGCUGGUUUUUAUUGGCCAACUGUGGGCAGCGACGCCUCUGCAUUAGUACAGCAUUGUCCAGGCUGUCAAGUGUUCGCCAAACAAAGCCACGUGCCCCCCGCAGUCCCCCACACUAUCACUAUAACUUGGGCUUUUGUAGUCUCGGGGCUAGAUAUGGUCGGUCCACUCAAGGGCGGAACAAGAAAAAUUAAAUAUCUACUUGUCAUGGUGGACAAGUUCACUAAGUGGAUCGAAGCAAAGCCAGUUACCUCGGCCUCCCAGUAAUUGAGUUCAUCUCAGGGGUAGUGCACCGCUACGGUAUCCCGAACAGUCUGAUCACAGACAACGGGACAAACUCUACGGCCAAAGAGGUCAAAGCAUGGUGUACAAAAAUGGGUAUCAAGCUCGACUACGCGUCUGUAUAUCACCUGCAGUCAAACGGGCAAAUGAAACGCGCCAAUGGACUAAUUCUCAAUGGCAUCAAGCCUAGGCUAGUACGCUCCCUUAAAGAAGCCAACUGCAAAUGGGUAGAAGAACUUGAUUCCCUCCUUUGGGGUUUGCGCACCACACUGAACAGAUCCACUGGGUAUACCCCAUUUUUCAUGGUGUACAUCGCCGAGGCAGUACUCCCUUGCGACAUCAUACACGACGCACCUCGGGUACGCAUGUAUGAAGAGAGCAAGGCCGAGUUAGAUCGGUAGGACGCCUUGGACGCCCUAGAGGAGGAGCACAAUGUUGCUCGGGCACGAUCUGCCAUCUACCAACAACAAGCCCGACGCUGUCAUAGUCAGGAGGUUCGCGCAAAGGACUUCAAUGUAGGAGACCUAGUCAUGAGGCUUCAUUCGGAGAAGCAGAAGCACAAACUCUCCCCUAAAUGGGACGGGCCAUUUAUCAUUGACCAGGUCCUCAUUGGAGGCACCUACCGAAUUUGAGAUCCAGUGGAUGGGCGUCUAGAGCCCAACCCCUGGAAUGUGGUGCUACUCCAAUGUUUCUACGAUUGAAGCCCCAAACACUGCUCAUCUAUGUACAUACACCACUUUACCUUUCUCUUGUUUUAUGACACCUCGGGGACAUCUUUUGAAUGACCUCGAGAGCAAAAACCAGUAUGGCAUGUUCUUUUCAAAAUAUGUGUCAUUCCACCUCUUACACACUAUUGUCUUUCAAGCCAAAAUAUGCAUCGGUUGGACUUAAAAUUUUGCCAAGCUGGAUUUCCCGGCUCCUGUGCUUGCCCCUUAUGUUCCCGAUCAUUCGCCUAAGGGGCAAAGGGAGCACCGUUGUGAUUGUUACUCCCGAGUCAGCCGACGUAGUACCUCAGACGGAGAAAGCCGAAAGCUAGCGCGCUUAAAUGUGCAAAUCAGCCGGCCAUGACAUAGGAAUAAAGUGGAGGGGGUCUUUCAAACCCCAACCAGGGGCUUUACCCCAGAGGUCAUCCGUCUUCAGACUCAUGUGCUUGACACAACUACCCGAGGAAAGGAACUGUUGGAAGAACUAUUUUUCUUUGAAGAUGUUUCUUAUGUUAAAAGCAAUAUAACAUAACUCUCCGCCUCACUCUUGUCCUUCAAACCAUAUAGCCGGAUUGCCUCGUCACCCGAAGCACCUAGUCUGAUUACUUCGGCUAGUAGUAAGGGACACUCCUCGGCCGUUGGCCGAGGAGGUAGAAGUCGAUGGCUGGUUGACAGAGUUUAGGUGCGCAGUUUGAAUAAUAACAUAAAGUACUUUGAUACAUAGUCAUACAUAAUCAUUUAAUUACACCCGGUCUAGCCCAUCUAUUAAGGUGUCUAGGGCGCAGUCCUUCUGCGAGAACCAAGCAGCGGGCAUGACACUCUCGUAUGCGAGACUAGUCACUGGUGCGCGUCGGUCCUAAACAAACGGUUUUUUACCCCUUUCCGCGACGGCAUUUGAAACCAUCGCCAAGUGAGUGUGGGCGAUAGGGGGGUCCUUCCCACACGACCCAGAAACCGUUGGGUAUAUGCCCUCCUGGCACACACGUUCGGCAAAAUGAGGUCGUGUGCGACCGGCGAGCACUCAAAUACGGAAAUACAAUCAAUAGAGCUAAAAAAUACAAUUAUACGACGAAAUUGUUUCUGGUCGCAACUCGCAAGUACAUCCCACAAAGUCAGUCCCCGCUAAACGUUUCCGUUCGUAUGCAAAUCCCACACAGUCGCUUCAAGGAAAACAUUUCCAUUCACAGGUACAUCACACACAAUUUUUCCCGUUAAAUCGUUUGCGUUAUUGAAUGUAGCACACACGGUCCGUAGAAGAAACUGUGUGGCAAAGGCUGUCCAUGACACACAGUUUUUAUGUGGUAAAUGUUUGCGUAAGGUGGCCUAACGCAAACAGUUUUUAAGAGAAAAUCGUGUGUGAUUGUUCAUUGAUCCAACACAGUUUAUUCCUAGAAACUGUGUGCAUUGCCUGAGGUCAUCGUACAUAGUAUUUUUUCAACAACCGUUUGCAAUAUCAAAACCCAAUUAGCAGGCUAAUUGCCAUAUUAUUAAUAAUCCAUUUAUUAAUCUAAUUGACAUUCAUAUUAAGCACACAAUAUAUUUCAUUUUCAUAUUAAGGAAGCAGAAUUUCAUAAUUGAAAUAUAUCAGAGUACAACAUGAUAUAGCUUCAGCACUCAGCUACCCCAUUACACAACUGCACCAGCAGCAAGUUCCACAUGCAACAUGUAGAACCUUUCGAAAUUAGCAUCAUAGACGGUAUAUAGACUGAUGCAUCUCAUCUGGAAAACUGCUGAAGCGGAAAGUGAAUAUUGAGCCUUCAUUCAUGUUGAAGGUCUUUGCAACUUUAGGCCAGUGCCUAUGGAUGAUUGACCGUCCGUCCUUCGACCUCUUCAGGAACACUUCAAUAUUGAACCGUGUGUGUUGUAUGAAAACCUUCCUCGCCUCCUGACCAUAGAGGUGGUUUGAGAGGUAAUCAUCAGUGAACUGCUUUGGAAAGGCCUGAAAAUAAGGAUGUGCAUAAAUAUUUUCUCUAUAUUGGAAAUGGGGAAAAGGAAUAAAAAAGGCAAGGUAUAAUAGUUAGUACCAUCUUGUAGUGAACUGAUGUCUUCUUCAUUGUGCAGACAAAGAUCUUGUUGUUUUUUGUCGCUAAUUUCUUUAUCCUAAUGAUCUUUCUAAGUUUCUUGAUUUGAUUGAUAUUCAUGGACAACUCAUUUCCCCAUAUGCAAAAAAGGGUCAAACAGUGGGUCAAAACCUCUGACAGCAGGACCUAUAUGUGCAAGACCAAAUUGUUAAAAACCAAAAUAUUAGAAUGGUUCCUGCAAUUGCACAAUAAUGUGCUAUUAGACAACGGACCAUGCACGUGCUAACCUCGAUUGUAAACCUCAGUGCUUCCCAUUGUUUCCCUGCAACACAUAUAAGGUAGUUAGUCAUCAGGUUAAGUAAGGGUUCGCAUGCUAUCAGUAAAAUAUGUUGAUGAAAAAUAAGCACAUUGCAGAUUCAUCAGAUUAAUUGAAGCCAAACGGAAAACCCAUUUACCCAAACCAAGCAUGAUUAAGAACUAGGAAAUAUAGUACUUGUAUAUGUUUCUCAUGUAUUAAGUGCAGCCAAAUUCGAUUUAUUCCUCACAUGCACAACAAUACAAAAUUCUACCCACGACAAUUGGACAUCGCACUGCAGAAUUGAACCAAGCAGUUAACUAAACACUGCAACAAAUGAACCAAACAUUAACUGAGCACCACAUUGCACAAUAUAACAUUGAACCAAGAAGUUAACUAAACACCACAACAAAUGAACCAAACAUUAACUGAGCACCACAUUGCACAAUAUAACAUACUCCUUAUAGAAGAUCAGAGAGUUAACCAAACAGUUAACUACAGCCAAUUGUAGCAAUUGUAUUUGUUUCUCAUGUAUUUACUACAGCCAAAUUCAAUUUAUUCCUCACAUGGUAUACAAUAACAGAAUGCACCCACAAUUUUGUAAAGAUAAAUUCGAUUUAUUUCUCACAUGGAAGACAAUACAAAAUUGCAGCCUGAAGAAUUGAACAUCACAUUUGCAGAAUUGAACCAAACAGUAACUGAAGAUGACAACUAAUUAACAAAACAGUUAAUAAGUGAGCACCACACUGCACGACAUAUAGAACAUAUACACUAGAGCAACAGAUUGCAUGGUGAAAUUAGAUAGCACAAUUCACUAGAUUUUGUGAAGGAAAGGCAGGAGCAGCACACGCAACGGGUAAACCGAGCAUGCUUAACCGGUGUAGCUAGCAAUUGGCAAGGUGCUCUUCCAAGAUCUGGGGGUCGGCACAAAUGGCAGCCAUCGCGACCUCAUCCGCGCGUGCGGCCGCGAUUUGCUUCUCCGCUGCCAAAUGCUCCUUGAGGUCCUGGCUAUACUGCAUGCACCAUGGCUUAGGCCGGCGCUUAUUUGGUGGAGGGGUCGGUGAUUUGGGUGGAAGGUGUCACGCUCGCGACAGAGGUCGGGGCAUGUGGGAUGUGGAAUUAGGAGGAGGAUGGGGGUCGGGUGUGGAUUACCUGCUUGGAUAGAGGAGGCUGAGCAGUGUAAGGGAGGGUCGCCGGCGAGGAGGCGGCGGCGCUGCAAGCAAGGAGUGAAGGUUUCAACUUGGAAAGGAAGGCGGAAAGAGGGUAAAUGUGGCUUUUGGUAAGGGGGAGGGGCGGGGAGGUAUAUAUUUCCGCGGAAGCCGAAAAUUUGGAAUCGCUUCAGCCAAAAAACUGGCGCGCAAAGUGUCAUCAGACACGGUCCCUUAUUCAGAACUGUGUACGAUAUGUGGACAUCACAAACGAUUCAGAUAUCUUAACCCGUGUGUGAUGAGUUUGAACGUCAAAAGUUUUGGUUCGAAUUUCCAUGGUUACAGUGGUCAUCCACAUCAUUGCAUAAUUUGGGUACACAAAGGAGACUACAACACACCCACAUUUCUUAAUCGAGCAAGUUCAGCAAUUAAAUAGAGCUAGCUGACCUAAACAUUACUCUAACAAAUUAAAGACCGGCGCUCUUAAUUAAAAAAAUAUAGAGUACUACUACGGCUGGUGCUCGUCGAUCUCCGCCGCCGCCUCCAUGUCCAGCUCGCGCCCGACGGUCUCCUGGGGAAGGGGCUCCAUGGCAUCCAUCGCACCAUACUCGGCAAGCAUCUCGCCAUCCGCGUCUGCCAUCUCUUUGGAAAAGGCCGCCAUGAGCUGGGCGUGGGUGGACGCGAUCUGGGCUUGGACGGGCUCCGUUGUCGCAAGGUAUGCGGCGGAGGAACGGACGGCUGCUCGAACGCUCUCGGCGAUUGCCAGCUCUUCGGCCGUGGGUUGCCGACCGUUGUCGGAGAAACUUCGUUCGAUUUGUGUGGUGACCACCAGGAGCUGGGUGUGGGCAGCCUCGGCAUGGUCGUGGGCGGCCUUCAUCAGGGCUAAGGUCGCCGCUGCGGAACGGACAGCUGCUGUGCCGCUCUCGCCAGUUGCUAUCCCGAGGCAGAUGUUGCUGCCGCCACCUGAGAAGCAACAGCGGCCGUUUGGGCUGCCUUUGCCGCCCGGUCGCAAAUUGCAGCCGCGCUCAUGCACCUUGUUAGCACGCGCAUGGCGGCUGCGGCCGCGCUCUCGCUGGAGUGGGCCACCGAAGUUGCCCUCACGACGCGUGUCAUGGAAUUGUCACGGCAGAUGUCCUAGUGAAAGGACUUAAUCGUGGAUCCAUCGCAACUAGGAAGCUUAAAGGGGUUAAAAUGGGACAAAGGACACGAGGGUUUAUACUG